rnacentral:misc_RNA from 1 species
ACAAGAAUAUGGAAAUAAUCCC